CGCAAUUCAUUUAGGGUAGUUAGCGCCAUUUCUGUGGUGAAGAGACAGCAGCAACAAACAAAAGAAAACUAACAGAGAGCAGACGUGUUCUAGUUGCUUCUUUGGAAAUAAUGGGACACUGGUGCUGCGUCAAAGGAUGCAAUAGUAAUUCUAAACAGAAAACAGCAGAUGGGGCCUUACGGUUUUUCGUAUUCCCCACUUGGAAAAAAAAUACGGACCGCAGACAGAGGACUUAACAAAGAGGCGUCGGGCUCCGUGGGUCGCUGCUGUAAGAAGGAAAGACAUCACGUUUCAUAAAAUAUCUCCUCAUGUUCGUGUUUGCUCUCGGCAUUUUCACAAAGGUCAACCCGCAUAUGAGAUGAUGGAGACUGACCCAGACUGGGCUCCAUCCCUGCAUCUGGGCCACACUGACAUCAAACCAACAGACACAGACCACUCUUUAAGACGUGGUUAUCGGGAACAGCUGAAA